rnacentral:lncRNA from 1 species
AUAUAUAUAUGCGCGCGUGCGCGCGCACUUUUUUGAUAAGAUAACAAUAAGGACUUAUAAGCAUACUAUUUGUAUGAGCUUUUCGAGUAUUGAUAUGAUGUUCUUUUUACCUGAUAUUAUUUAUUUGAUUAUAUUUCUAUUACUUAUGGUGUAGCGAUUCGGAUUUUUUACUGGGCUGGAAAAGUUUAUAUCCUUCCUUGCAUUUUCUUUUUAGAGUUGAGGUUACAUAGUACUUGGUCAUAGUUGAGAUCAUGGGUGAAGGAAUAUAGCAUCCUUGUUUGCAGUUAGAUGAAUGAAUCUGGUAAUUUUGUACAAGUUUGUUAUUCAUUAUGAACUAAGGCCGUUAUUAUUCAUGGAUAUUGAGAUGUAAUAAGUUUUUCAGGUCUAAUAUAUUCUCUAGGGCUCUGCCCUAGAGAGUGUGCGGCCGUGUCACAUGGCCGACCUAGUGGCGGAUUUGGGGCGUGACAGCUAACAUCAGAAUUUCAUAAAACCCCAAGCAUGCAAUCUUGAAUAUUUAACACCUAUAGAGAUGGAUGAUAUACUAUAGUGUUAAGAUUUCACAACCUUUUUCUGCAAAAAUAAUUCCAUAUUACUGAAUAAUGUAUAAUCUAGGUAGAUGUUAUAAUUUUCUUUCAUAUCUGAGACAACUGAAACCUGGAAAUAGUGUAUGACUUAACAUCCUUAUCCUGCAAAAAUAAUUCCAUAUUAUUGAAUAAUGUAUAAUCUAGGUAGAUGUUAUAAUUUUCAUUCAUAUCUGAGAUAACUGAAACCUGGAAAUACUGUAUGACUUAACCAAACAAUGGGAAUAUUACGCUCUAAUGCAAGAGCUAGGGCCAUUCUUCAACAAGAAAAAGAAGAAGAAGAAGGGGCAAUAUAAAAGGAAUAUUCAUUUUC